UUUUGCCAUGCCCCAUUCUGAUCCGUUGGGGUGGAGACGGAUUCC
rnacentral:ribozyme from 1 species